rnacentral:rRNA from 1 species
UACGUAGGGACCAAGCGUUGUUCGGAUUUACUGGGCGUAAAGGGCGCGUAGGCGGCGUGUUAAGUCAGCUGUGAAAUCUCCAAGCUUAACUUGGAACGGUCAGCUGAUACUGAUGUGCUAGAGUGCAGAAGGGGCAACCGGAAUUCUUGGUGUAGCGGUGAAAUGCGUAGAUAUCAGGAGGAACACCGGUGGUGUAGACGGCUUCUGGACCGUAACUGACGCUGAGACACGAAAGCGUGGGGAGCAAACAGG